rnacentral:tRNA from 1 species
GCCCGGUUAGCUCAGUCUGUGGAGCAUGGAACUCUUAAUCCCAGGGUCGUGAGUUCGAGUCUCACAUCGGGCG